UAGGUUGGUAUUUAGUUUUUCGUUCAAGUGUCAGUCUUCAAAUAAGUUAAUGUCAGAAAUAUCGCCCAUAAGGGAUAGCUAGUGUUGGUCCCACCUGUUGCAGCUGGGAGGGAUCAAAUGAGUACAGACCCAACUUUGGGUAUUAUUUGCAUCAAGUGAAAAUAAUAUCCCACUCCCACGUUUUCUCCAUUGCAAUUGCGCUUCAACACAUACCUAAAAUCAGAUUCUCAUUCAUCCUUAAGAUUCCUGCCAUCCAAAUUGUGCCUAAAGUUUGACCUAUAUCACACAAAGUGGAAGCACAUGGAAGGGCAGGAGCGCGAGCGCGAGACCGCCAAUUGCGAAAAUAAAUACAUAGGAUUGUGUAUUACAUUCUCAAUAUAAAAUCUAUUAAUAGUUGUUAAGAUAAAAUUGCAAUGAGAAUACACAACAACGCUAC
rnacentral:lncRNA from 1 species